rnacentral:tRNA from 1 species
GCCUGGGUGGCUCAGUCAGUUGAGUGUCUGACUUCAGCUCAGGUCAUGGAUCCCAUGGGUUCGUGGGUUCAAGCCCCACAUCAGGCU